GACGAACGCUGGCGGCGUGCUUAACACAUGCAAGUCGAACGGAAAGGCCCUGCUUUUGUGGGGUGCUCGAGUGGCGAACGGGUGAGUAACACGUGAGUAACCUGCCCUUGACUUUGGGAUAACUUCAGGAAACUGGGGCUAAUACCGGAUAGGAGCUCCUGCUGCAUGGUGGGGGUUGGAAAGUUUCGGCGGUUGGGGAUGGACUCGCGGCUUAUCAGCUUGUUGGUGGGGUAGUGGCUUACCAAGGCUUUGGCGGGUAGCCGGCCUGAGAGGGUGACCGGCCACAUUGGGCCUGAGAUACGGCCCAGACUCCUACGGGAGGCAGCAGUGGGGAAUAUUGCACAAUGGGCGGAAGCCUGAUGCAGCAACGCCGCGUGCGGGAUGACGGCCUUCGGGUUGUAAACCGCUUUCGCCUGUGACGAAGCGUGAGUGACAGUAAUGGGUAAAGAAGCACCGGCUAACUACGUG
rnacentral:rRNA from 1 species